GGGGUAUAGCUCAGCUGGGAGAGCGCUUGAAUGGCAUUCAAGAGGUCAGGGGUUCGAUUCCCCUUAUCUCC
rnacentral:tRNA from 2 species